rnacentral:rRNA from 1 species
AGUGAACGCUGGCGGUAGGCCUAACACAUGCAAGUCGAACGGCAGCACAGUAAGAGCUUGCUCUUACGGAAGGCGAGUGGCGGACGGGUGUGGAAUACAUCGGCAUCUACUUUUUCGUGGGGGAUAAGGUAGGGAAACUUACGCUAAUACCGCAUACGACCUACGGGUGAAAGCAGGGGAUCUUCGGACCUUGCGCGAUUGAAUGAGCCGAUGUCGGAUUAGCUAGUUGGCGGGGUAAAGGCCCACCAAGGCGACGCUCCGUAGCUGGUCUGAGAUGAUGAUCAGCGACACUGGAACUGAGACACGGUCCAGACUCCUACGGGAGGCAGCAGUGGGGAAUAUUCGACAAGGGGCGCAAGCCUGAUCCAGCCAUACCGCGUGGGUGAAGAAGGGCUUCGGGUUGUAAAGCCCUUUUGUUUGGAAAGAAAAGCAGCAGGUUAAUACCCCGCUGUUUUGACGGUACCCAAAGAAUAAGCACCGGCCAACUUCGUG